rnacentral:tRNA from 1 species
ACUUGUCUAGCUCAGUUGGUAGAGCACAAGCCUUUUAACCUUGUGGUCGUGGGUUUAAGCCCCACGAUGGGCA